UCGAGGGGUAUAGUUCUUCGGAGCUAGAGACCGGCGCACGGGUGCGUAACGCGUAUGCAACCUACCUUUCACAGGGGGAUAGCCCAGAGAAAUUUGGAUUAAUACCCCAUGGUAUAUAUGGAUGGCAUCAUUUAUAUAUUAAAGUUCCAACGGUGAAAGAUGGGCAUGCGUCCCAUUAGCUAGAUGGUAAGGUAACGGCUUACCAUGGCUACGAUGGGUAGGGGUCCUGAGAGGGAGAUCCCCCACACUGGUACUGAGACACGGACCAGACUCCUACGGGAGGCAGCAGUGAGGAAUAUUGGACAAUGGGCGCAAGCCUGAUCCAGCCAUGCCGCGUGCAGGAUGAAGCAUCUAUGGUGUGUAAACUGCUUUUGUACGAGAAGAAACACUGCUUCGUGAAGCAGCUUGACGGUAUCGUAAGAAUAAGGAUCGGCUAACUCCGUGCCAGCAGCCGCGGUAAUACGGAGGAUCCAAGCGUUAUCCGGAAUCAUUGGGUUUAAAGGGUCCGUAGGCGGCCUUAUAAGUCAGUGGUGAAAUCUCCCCGCUCAACGGGGAAACGGCCAUUGAUACUGUAGGGCUUGAAUUAUUAGGAAGUAACUAGAAUAUGUAGUGUAGCGGUGAAAUGCUUAGAGAUUACAUGGAAUACCAAUUGCGAAGGCAGGUUACUACUAAUGGAUUGA
rnacentral:rRNA from 1 species